rnacentral:rRNA from 1 species
UUUUCUGCCACCGAAUACAUUAGCAUGGGAUAAUGGAAUAGGACCCUGUCCUCCUAUUUUCAGUUGGUUUUGGCAGCGCGAGGACUAGGGUAAUGAUUAAUAGGGAUAGUUGGGGGCAUUAAUAUUUAAUUGUCAGAGGUGAAAUUCUUGGAUUUAUGAAAGAUUAACUUCUGCGAAAGCAUCUGCCAAGGAUGUUUUCAUUAAUCAAGAACGAAAGUUAGGGGAUCGAAGACGAUCAGAUACCGUCGUAGUCUUAACCAUAAACGAUGCCGACCAGCGAUUAGGAGACGUUGAAUACAAAACACCACCAUCGGCGCGGUCGUCCUUGGCGUUCGUGUUCACGCACGAGCGCGAGGGCGGCUUAGCCCGAUGGCACCGGUGAAUGACUCCCCUAGCAGCUUGUGAGA